rnacentral:rRNA from 1 species
AAUGAACGCUGGCGGCAUGCCUAACACAUGCAAGUCGAACGAGACCUUCGGGUCUAGUGGCGCACGGGUGCGUAACGCGUGGGAAUCUGCCCUUGGGUUCGGAAUAACAGUUAGAAAUGACUGCUAAUACCGAAUGAUGUCGUAAGACCAAAGAUUCAUCGCCCAGGGAUGAGCCCGCGUAGGAUUAGCUAGUUGGUGUGGUAAAAGCGCACCAAGGCGACGACCUUAGCUGGUCUGAGAGGAUGAUCAGCCACACUGGGACUGAGACACGGCCCAGACUCCUACGGGAGGCAGCAGUGGGGAAUAUUGGACAAUGGGCGGAAAGCCUGACGCAGCGACGCCGCGUGAGUGAUGAAGGCC